AACAGGUUAAAGAAUGGUGAAGAAGUUUCAUCAGAUGAUCAUAUAAAACUAAGUGAAGAUGAUGAUGGUAAUGUGCAAUUAAUCAUUGAUAGUUCUAUCCCAGAGGACACUGGGAAAUAUGCAGUAUUUGCUGUGAAUGAAGCUGGAGAUGUCAGCACUGUUGCCAAACUAACAGUUAAAAAUCCCUCAGUGCAUAAACCAGAAAUUAAGGAUGGAUUGAAAGCAACAGAAUUUAUAGAAGAUCAUCCAGGUUGUCUAGAAAUUCAGAUUAGUGCUGAACCAAAAGCCAAAGUCAAGUGGACAAAAGAUGGCCAAGAACUUGUACCCAGUGAACAUUUUACUAUUGUUGAAGAACCAGAUGGGAUUGUAGCAUUAAUCAUUGAUAAGGUGACACCACAAGAUGCAGGAAAAUAUGCUGUAAUCAUUUACAAUGAUGAAGGAACAGCAGAGAGUGAAGCCAGGGUGACAAGUAAGUAGUAAUUUGAGAAA